GAUGAAGAACGCAGCGAAAUGCGAUAAGUAAUGUGAAUUGCAGAAUUCAGUGAAUCAUCGAAUCUUUGAACGCACAUUGCGCCCGCCAGCAUUCUGGCGGGCAUGCCUGUUCGAGCGUCAUUUCAACCCUCUACCUCCCCUUGGGGAAGUCGGCGUUGGGGACCGGCAGUAUACCGCCGGCCCCGAAAUGGAGUGGCGGCCCGUCCGCGGCGACCUCUGCGUAGUAAUCCAACCUCGCACCGGAACCCCGACGUGGCCACGCCGUAAAACCCCCAACUUUCUGAACGUUGACCUCGGAUCAGGUAGGAAUACCCGCUGAACUUAAGCAUAUCAAUAAGCGGAGGA
rnacentral:misc_RNA from 1 species